rnacentral:rRNA from 2 species
AGGAGAGUGGAAUUCCACGUGUAGCGGUGAAAUGCGUAGAGAUGUGGAGGAACACCAGUGGCGAAGGCGACUCUCUGGUCUGUAACUGACGCUGAGGAGCGAAAGCGUGGGGAGCGAACAGGAUUAGAUACCCUGGUAGUCCACGCCGUAAACGAUGAGUGCUAAGUGUUAGGGGGUUUCCGCCCCUUAGUGCUGCAGCUAACGCAUUAAGCACUCCGCCCUGGGGAGUACGGUCGCAAGACUGAAAACUCAAAGGAAUUGACGGGGGCCCGCACAAGCGGGGGGAGCAUGGUGGGUUUAAUUCGAAUCAACGCGAAGAAACCUUUACCAGG